rnacentral:rRNA from 1 species
CCCUUAGAUGUUCUGGGCCGCACGCGCGCUACACUGGUACGUUCAACAAGUUUACAACCUUGAUCGAUAGGUCUGGGUAAUCUUUUUAAUGCGUACCGUGCUAGGGAUAGAUUAUUGCAAUUAUUAACCUUGAACGAGGAAUUCCUAGUAAACGCAAGUCAUCAGCUUGCAUUGAUUACGUCCCUGCCCUUUGUACACACCGCCCGUCGCACCUACUGAUUGAAUGACUCGGUGAAAAAUUGGGACUGUGAGAACAAUCGAUUCAGUUCGAAUGUACUCGUGGAAACUUUUUUUAACCUCGCCAUUUAGAAGAAGGUGAANUCGUAACA